CCUACGGGAGGCAGCAGUGAGGAAUAUUGGUCAAUGGGCGCUAGCCUGAACCAGCCAAGUAGCGUGAAGGAUGACUGCCCUAUGGGUUGUAAACUUCUUUUAUAUGGGAAUAAAGUGCAGUAUGUAUACUUCUUUGCAUGUACCUUAUGAAUAAGGAUCGGCUAACUCCGUGCCAGCAGCCGCGGUAAUACUGGGGAUGCAAGCGUUAUCCGGAUUUAUUGGGUUUAAAGGGUGCGUAGGCUGUGAGGUAAGUCAGCGGUGAAAUGCCCCCGCUCAACGGGGUGAAGUGCCAUUGAUACUGCCUGGCUGGAAUGCGGAUGCCGUGGGAGGAAUGUGUGGUGUAGCGGUGAAAUGCAUAGAUAUCACACAGAACACCGAUUGCGAAGGCAUCUCACGAAGCCGCGAUUGACGCUGAUGCACGAAAGCGUGGGUAUCAAACAGGAUUAGAUACCCCUGUAGUC
rnacentral:rRNA from 1 species